rnacentral:rRNA from 1 species
GAGUUUGAUCUUGGCUCAGAUUGAACGCUGGCGGCAUGCCUUACACAUGCAAGUCGAACGGCAGCAUGAUCUAGCUUGCUAGAUUGAUGGCGAGUGGCGAACGGGUGAGUAAUACAUCGGAACGUGCCCUGUAGUGGGGGAUAACUAGUCGAAAGAUUAGCUAAUACCGCAUACGACCUGAGGGUGAAAGUGGGGGACCGCAAGGCCUCAUGCUAUAGGAGCGGCCGAUGUCUGAUUAGCUAGUUGGUGGGGUAAAGGCCCACCAAGGCGACGAUCAGUAGCUGGUCUGAGAGGACGAUCAGCCACACUGGGACUGAGACACGGCCCAGACUCCUACGGGAGGCAGCAGUGGGGAAUUUUGGACAAUGGGCGAAAGCCUGAUCCAGCAAUGCCGCGUGUGUGAAGG